rnacentral:rRNA from 1 species
GUGAGGAAUAUUGGUCAAUGGACGAGAGUCUGAACCAGCCAAGUCGCGUGAAGGAAGACGGUUCUAUGAAUUGUAAACUUCUUUUGUGCAGGAAUAAAGUGGGUUACGUGUAACCUUUUGUAUGUACUGUACGAAUAAGGAUCGGCUAACUCCGUGCCAGCAGCCGCGGUAAUACGGAGGAUCCGAGCGUUAUCCGGAUUUAUUGGGUUUAAAGGGUGCGUAGGUGGAUUGAUAAGUCAGCGGUGAAAGUUUGCAGCUUAACUGUAAAAUUGCCGUUGAAACUGUCGAUCUUGAGUGCAAAUGAGGUAAGCGGAAUGUGUUGUGUAGCGGUGAAAUGCUUAGAUAUAACACAGAACACCGAUUGCGAAGGCAGCUUACUGGGAUGCAACUGACGCUCAUGCACGAAAGCGUGGGGAUCAAACAGGAUUAGAUACCCUGGUAGUCC